AUUGAACGCUGGCGGCAGGCCUAACACAUGCAAGUCGAACGAGUGGCGGACGGGUGAGUAAUGUCUGGGAAACUGCCUGAUGGAGGGGGAUAACUACUGGAAACGGUAGCUAAUACCGCAUACCAUCGGAUGUGCCCAGAUGGGAUUAGCUAGUCGGUGGGGUAACGGCUCACCUAGGCGACGAUCCCUAGCUGGUCUGAGAGGAUGACCAGCCACACUGGAACGGUGACACGGUCCAGACGACUACGGGAGGCAGCAGUGGGGAAUAUUGCACAAUGGGCGCAAGCCUGAAGCAGCCAUGCCGCGUGUAUGAAGAAGGCCUUCAGGUUGUAAAGUACUUUCAGCGGAGAGGCGGUACUCGCAGAAGAAGCACCGGCUAACGCCGUGCCAGCAGCCGCGGUAAUUC
rnacentral:rRNA from 1 species